AGCAGUCGCCGGGUAAAACAGAGGGUGCAAGCGUUAAUCGGAAUUACUGGGCGUAAAGCGCGCGUAGGUGGUUUGUUAAGUUGGAUGUGAAAUCCCCGGGCUCAACCUGGGAACUGCAUCCAAAACUGGCAAGCUAGAGUAUGGUAGAGGGUGGUGGAAUUUCCUGUGUAGCGGUGAAAUGCGUAGAUAUAGGAAGGAACACCAGUGGCGAAGGCGACCACCUGGACUGAUACUGACACUGAGGUGCGAAAGCGUGGGGAGCAAACAGGAUUAGAUACCCGUGUAGUCCCUGUCUCUUAUACA
rnacentral:rRNA from 1 species